rnacentral:lncRNA from 1 species
CAAACAUAUAUUUAGUCUCUGUAAAAAUUUAAAUCUUACAGCAUGUACAGGUAACGUGUUGCUUUUUCUUUUUUCCAGUAUGAAGACAAAGUUGCGGUACGUGACAGAGUGGCAUUUGCUUGUAAAUUCCUUAGUGAUACUCAGGGCUCACCUUUAGAUGUUCUGAAAGAUGAAAGAGUCCAGUACUGGAUUGAGAAUUAUAGAAAUUUAUUAGAUGCUUGGAGGUUUUGGCACAAACGAGCUGAAUUUGAUAUUCACAGGAGUAAGUUGGAUCCCAGUUCCAAGCCAUUAGCACAGGUAAGAACAUUGUUUUACAGAGAAUCAAAUGAUAACAUGUUUUAUUUCAAUUUAAUAAGUUAUUUUCAGCUCAUUCUUUUGCUUGUAUCAAGUUCCCAUUGAUGUCUAUUUCAGAUUGUACUUACUCUUGAUCUUCCUGUUCUUUGGUUCUGCCAGUCCUAACAAUCAUACUAGGCGGUUGAGCAUUAGUCUGAGAUGGAACAAACUACAGAAGUCCAGAGGAUCUUAGGAAAGCCUAAAUCCUGGGGUUGUAUGAAGUUUUCCAAUAUGUGUCAAGGCCUUUCAGAAUCUAAACUAUUAAUGUGAUAUUAGAAAUCCCAUCUAUGUAGUUUUCUGCACUCUUAAUGUGCAAUAAAGCAGGAUUUGGGGAAAUUUUUUUAACUUAAUAGUAUAUGCAUUUUAUAUGUCUAAUUGUACAUGGAAAUCUUUUUUUCUUUUAGCGCUAGUUUAAAAACCAUGGAAUCAGUAUCCUAGGACUGUGAUGGUGAACCAUUUAGAGCUUUCAGUGAUGCAGACACCCCACUGUGGCACAUGGGCCAUAAGUUUGCCACCGCUGUCCUAGUGGUGUAGCAAACUGAAUCUGGGAAGGAAGACACCCAGGGAGGCAGGAGGCAUUGUACAACUUUUUUAUUACAUUAAUGGACCUGACUAGGAUUGCUCCCAAAGAAGUCAAGCCCAGAAUAUCAGUGAGCCGCCAGUUUUAUAGGGUUGCAAGCAGGAAGUACGGAAGCAGAGUAUUUGGCAGUCUUUGUUUGGUUAGUUAUUUGACAUUUUUUACAUCUUAAUUUCAUUGGCGUUUCCCUGGGAAUAUAGCAAGCAGAGUUUACACAAAGCAGUGCAUUGUGGGGGGAGUUCUUGGCAGGACUUUCUAAGUCCGUUACGCUCUUUUGGUGAUAGAUUACAGAAGUUGUAGUGGCUACUCAGGUACAUUCUACAAAGAACAUAGUUAGCUAGUUAACUCAUAGUUGCUUAAUAACACAGUUAACUCAUAGUAGUCAAAUUUAGUUAUUUUUUUGUUAGAAAUUUAUCUGUUUGCCUAGAAAUUCCCUUUCACUGGGACAC